rnacentral:lncRNA from 1 species
GUUCAUUAGAUACCUUUCCUCCCAGAGCAGCAAGAGGGCUAGACUCUGUCCCCACUAACCACAUUAGAUACCUUUCCUCCCGGAGCAGCAAGAGGGCUAGACUCUGUCCCCACUAACCAUCGGCUGUGGCCUCAAGACAAGGAACCGUGAGUUAAAGGUGACACACAGGUCAUGCAGAGACGACUCCCUAGUAUUCUGCUCCAGUCCCAGGAAGCUCUAAGUUGGUUUUCAUAGAGCCCUCCUGGUCCUCAAUUCAGGAAACCUGCAAACCUUCAAACUUGAUGUGAAUGAACACCAAAGUCGAGAUAGAGUCUACAAAAGAGCUUCUUUCUACAGCCUUCACUUCUGAUGAGGUCAUCCAAAUAUCCCUGGAGCCAGCUGCCACCAGUCAGGGCUUUGGAUGCCUGCUCUGCAAUCCCUGCUGACCCACCACACUCCUUCACUUGGAAAGUCCCGACUCUGGCAAAGAGCUGCCCUUGAAGUAGGUACUUCAAAGGGGCCACAGGCUACUGGAAAGCGUUCAGAUCUCUUAUCUGAGGAGCAGGGAUGACCACCAGUGCUGACCGGCCCUACCUGCUGUUUCCUGGCAGAUUAACUCUACUUGGUGUUGUUCCUAC